AUAACUGCGAUGAGCGGGAGAGUAAGCGUACCGUAAAUCCCCAGAGAGGGGCCAUCAGCGGCUGGAAGUGGUCCUGGAUAGCGGGCGCUGAAAUGCACCCGUUAGCUGCAGGGCUGAAAUUCAAGAAAAGGAAAAGUAGGCCCUGCCGGCAGGCCCCGUUACGGCCCGGGAAGUUAUUGCCCGUUGAGUGGAGGAGUAAUCCUCAAACAGGGUGGAACCGCGAGAGCCCCUCGUCCCUGAC
rnacentral:ncRNA from 1 species